rnacentral:lncRNA from 1 species
UAUUGGCAGAGGUUAUCUCAUUAGCCUUCUCGGUGAAGUGAGGUGUUACUAGGGCUUGGCACAUUGAACACCGAGUUAUUUUAUGAUUGGAUACUCACAAGUAGGCUUUAGAGUUCGACAUUCUGGCGGCCGAACCACAUUUACCAUCAAGACAUAUAUUUGUUUUGAGUAUAUGUGCCCCUAUACUCUGGUGUCGAUUCGGUGUGC